rnacentral:lncRNA from 1 species
UGGCACUAUUCCUGUUGAACCUUCAUAGCCUGUAAUCCGGAGUGAAAUCUUGGGUGAAAUCUAAUUCCUUCUGAAAACUCAGAGUUAUUUGUGUGACAGUAUGACUUGCCUUAUCCCAACAGAAACAAGCAUUGGUAAGGGAAGCAGUGAAGAAAUGCAUAUUGAAGGGGGGAAUCUGGAAUAUUUCAAGAUAAGGUCCAAUUCUUCCAUUGUCUCGUAAUCCAAUGCAGAGAUGUGAAAUGUAAGAUCAUCUGAAGGAGAGCUUUGGUUCAAGUCAAAUGCAUGCCUCAACCUAGCAGAGCCAAAGAGAUACUUGUAUGAUGACAUGACUUUUGCCUUCUGCCAUGAUUGUGAGACCUCCCCAGCCACAUGAAACUAAUAUAAGACUUCACAACCUGCUGAAAAUGAGCUUUCCUAAUAACUCGGGACCUACCUGUCUAGGAAUAAACCAUCCUAAACAUGAAAGAUCAGAGAAAAUAGAAACACAAUAUAAUUUGGCUCCGCACCUGAGAUGCUCUCCAGCCAUGAUGGUAGAGUUCCUCAUUCUAGGGAUUAUGGACCCAGGCCAAGCCUGCUCCUUGAUA